rnacentral:rRNA from 1 species
AACGAACGCUGGCGGCGCGUCUUAAGCAUGCAAGUCGGACGGCAAGGGUAGCAAUACCCCUAGAGUGGCGGACUGGUGAGUAACGCGUGGGUGACCUACCCUUGAGAUGGGGAUAGCCAUUAGAAAUAGUGGAUAAUACCGAAUACGCUCACGACCCUGGGGGGAUGUGAGGAAAUCAGGCUACGGCCUGGCUCGAGGAUGGGCCCGCGUCCCAUUAGCUAGUUGGUGAGGGAAAAGCCCACCAAGGCGACGAUGGGUAUCCGGCCUGAGAGGGUGUACGGACACAUUGGGACUGAGAUACGGCCCAAACUCCUACGGGAGGCAGCAGCUAAGAAUAUUCCGCAAUGGACGAAAGUCUGACGGAGCGACGCCGCGUGGAUGAAGAAGGCCGAAAGGUUGUAAAAUCCUUAUGCUGAUGAAGAAUAAGUGUGGUAGGGAAUGACCGCAUGAUGACAUUAGUCGGUGAAUAAGCCCCGGCUAACUACGUGCCAGCCGCCGCCGUAA